CCUUUAUAGCCCCAAGGAAAUGUUAAACCCUGAGAACAAAUCUUGUUUAAGUGGCAGGGGCUGAGCACUGCCCUGAAUCAACCUCAGAAAUUCCUUCUGCAGGAGCUGGGCUUUGCCCACAGCCCAGGGUGCAGCUCCCUGUCCCUGCAAUCAACACCCCCAGCUGCCAGCGCUGCUGUUGUGGGCGAUGAUGAGUUCUGGAUGAAGGCACCACGUCCUGGGGAAGCAGGAGCUGCUGUGGUGAUUAGAGGCGCCAUGGAAAGAUUGAUUGGUGGCAAUCUGCUGGAGAGGGAGCUGCUGCAGCGCUGCCAAACGGAAUGGGAGCCCAGGUGUUGAUUGGAGAGGAGAGGGAAGUCCCAGUGCAGGAUUUCUGAGAUGGGAAGGAUUUGCUGCUCUGGAGCAGGGAGGAGGAGCUGGCCUGGAACCCCACAGGGAUUUAGGAACACCAGGGAGCUGGGAUGUUCCACCAGUGCUGGAGCGGGCUCUGCAAAAGGUGAGUGCAGCAGAACAACCUGAAUUGGGAUUUCUGCCUCUUGGAUCCACUGGAGGAAAAGAGGAUGGGCAGCAGAUCCUGGCUGAUGGGGUGGGAAAGCCCUCAGGGGAUUGUCACCCUUGGGGACACCUGGAGCACGUGGAAAAGAAAAUAAAGAGUUCCAAGGGAUGGGUGGGCAGCAGAUCCUGGCUGAUGGGGAGAACCCUGGGGUGGAAAAUCCCUCAGGGGAUUCUCUGCCACCCUUGGGGACACCUGGAACACAUGGAAAAGAAAAUAAAGAGUUCCAGAGGAUGGAUGGGCAGCAGAUCCUGGCUGAUGGGGAGGAAAAGCCCUCAGGGGAUUGUCACCCUUGGGGACAUCUGGAGCACAUGGAAAAGAAAAUAAAGA